UGGGGAAUAUUGCGCAAUGGGGGAAACCCUGACGCAGCGACGCCGCGUGUGGGAUGAAGGUCUUCGGAUUGUAAACCACUGUCGCGAGGGACGAAGCUCUGACGGUACCUCGAAAGGAAGCACCGGCUAACUCUGUGCCAGCAGCCGCGGUAAUACAGAGGGUGCGAGCGUUGUCCGGAAUCACUGGGCGUAAAGGGCGCGUAGGCGGCCCGGUAAGUAGGGGGUGAAAUCUCAUGGCUCAACUGUGAGGCUGCCUUCUAGACUGCCAGGCUUGAGCACAGUAGAGGCGAGUGGAAUUCCCGGUGUAGCGGUGGAAUGCGUAGAGAUCGGGAAGAACAUCGGUGGCGAAGGCGGCUCGCUGGGCUGUUGCUGACGCUGAGGCGCGAAAGCGUGGGGAGCAAACAGGAUUAGAUACCCCGGUAGUCCCUGAGCGGGCUGGCAAGGCG
rnacentral:rRNA from 1 species